CAUGACCGCACGGCCGACCUGUUCGCCGGCCUCCUCGCGGAGGACAUGCGCAAGCUCGCCGACGGCAACGCCAGGGAGGUCUCGCUUGCGAUUAGUUGUUUUACUUUAAAUACUGGACACAUAUAAUUUAUAGUACAAUGCUGAUUUCUUUUUUGUGGUGGUACGGAGGCGUCGGGAGCUUCGCGGCCAGAGCCAGCGAGGAGUAGUCCAUGGGAACGGUCGCCAUGUGAUUGUCGAUUUGCUUGGCUUCGCUUUGCUCGGUGCGGGUUUGGUGUACAAUGCUGAUUUCUGAGAGUGUUGAGGUAAAAGUUUGUGUGUUUAGUCAGAUUUGGCUCUUCAACUUUUCUCUGAGAUAUAUCACAACCAUCAUAUUUUAAAUAGCAUCUGUUUUCUAGAUAAGAGGCACACAAGUUUACAUGCGGACAUGGUUGUUAAUUUAGUCCAACCAUCAUAUUUGAAAGCAAGUGGUUGGCAUGAAUUGAUUCUGAGAUAUUCUUCAUUGGUUUUGAACACUUGGAGUGAUAAGACUAAAUGUAUGUUAUAUCAAAUUGGUAAUUGAGACUGCUUUCUUUGUAGCCUACAAUAGGUGCAAGCUACAUGGGCUUAAUCAGAAUGAACCGUCAUGAAUAUUUUGGAUUGUGGUAUUUAGCUUCUGAAUUAUAUAUUAGUUAAUGUGGCCAACCUUUUUGUAUCCAUAUAUGUUCACAAAAAUGAGUGUGCUCAUCCAUUCAAUUGGGAAUUAUUAGAGUAAUUCAAUUUAGAUAAUAUUUCUCAGUUAGGCGCACACACAGUAGAGAUAGCUAAGGUCUUGGUUAACUAGAGUUUUGGUCCACAUCUACCCCUAUUUUUGCACCUGGACGUGUUGGACUUUAUAGUUUAUAAUAUGGCCUCAAAACAAGAUUAUAAUCCUUCCUUUGGCAUUUCAAUUUAGUAUGUUCCUGUCACUCAAGAUGGCUUCGUGUUAUCACAGAAUUAAUAUACACGUUCAUACUAUAAAUAAUGUUUUGCUGGUCCUCUCCCCCUGCCCCCUUCUCUCUUUCUAUGGCUUACUAAUGCUUGCCGUUGUGGGAAAUUGAGAUUUUGUCUUCGCCGUGUAGGUAUGAAGCGUUGGCCUGAGAUGAAAUUAUCCCAAGACUACCAAGGUUUAAAAUCCAAGGCAAUAUGCACAACAUUCUACAGGAAUUACAAUUUGACAUGAUAUAUAUAAUGCUUGUUCGCGAUAUUUAUGUCUAAAUAUGUCCUGUAGUGAUUCUUUGCCGCAAAUGCAGUGCCUUGGUUAGCACUAUUGGCUACAUCAAUUUUUAUAGUUAAUUUCUGAACAUAGGUAAUGUGAUUUUCGUGUAAUCGUUGUCUCUGCCGCCUACUGCCUGACUCUUGUUGUUAUAAAUAGUGUCUGGGUCGAUGUAGGCGCCACCUUUUUUUUUCUUUUUUGGGUGCAGCAUUUUCAUAGUCUACCCUAUGUGGUCCUUGGUUGCUUAUGUCCAUAGUUAUGUUUUAUGCUUGACGGCUUGCUAAUU
rnacentral:lncRNA from 1 species